rnacentral:rRNA from 1 species
UACGAAGGGGGCUAGCGUUGCUCGGAAUCACUGGGCGUAAAGAGCUCGUAGGUGGUUUGUCGCGUUGUUCGUGAAAACUCACAACUCAAUUGUGGGCGUGCGGGCGAUACGGGCAGACUGGAGUACUGCAGGGGAGACUGGAAUUCCUGGUGUAGCGGUGGAAUGCGCAGAUAUCAGGAGGAACACCGGUGGCGAAGGCGGGUCUCUGGGCAGUAACUGACGCUGAGGAGCGAAAGCGUGGGGAGCGAACAGG